AUGCCAGGGAACAAAAAGAACAACAAAGUUGUGAGACUUGGCAAUGUGAUUGAAAGGUUAGGCAAGUUGACGGGGGUCAUAAAGAAGGGCACCGGUGCGACACGUUCCACACAGGUAGGCAGGGCCAAACCCGCACAACGAGCCACGGUGGAUGGUACCCAGGGUAGACGAAAUGGUCGUACCCUUGUGUCCCGUGUUGCUAGCCCUAUCCCCUCUGCCCAUUCUGAGGAGGAGUCGGAGGAGGAGAGGGAGGAGGAGCUAGUUAUGGAGGAGAGGGAAGAGGAGGCAGAGCAGGAGGGGGAGGAGGAGCUGGUUGUGCAGGAGGAGUUGGAGGAGGGAGAGUAUGAGGUGGAGGAAUCGGCAAAGCACAUGGAAUGGCCGGUUCCUAAGGAGACCAAAAUCUAG
rnacentral:rRNA from 1 species